rnacentral:rRNA from 1 species
GAGGGGCAGCGGGGAGGAAGCUUGCUUUCUCCGCCGGCGACCGGCGCACGGGUGAGUAACACGUAUGCAACCUGCCCCUGUCAGGGGGACAACCCGCCGAAAGGCGGGCUAAACCCGCGUACAUGCCACCGGGGCAUCCCGGAGGCAGGAAAGGCUUCGGCCGGACAGGGAUGGGCAUGCGGCGCAUUAGGCAGUAGGCGGGGUAACGGCCCACCUAACCGACGAUGCGUAGGGGUUCUGAGAGGAAGGUCCCCCACACUGGUACUGAGACACGGACCAGACUCCUACGGGAGGCAGCAGUGAGGAAUAUUGGUCAAUGGUCGGGAGACUGAACCAGCCAAGCCGCGUGAGGGAGGAAGGUACAGAGUAUCGUAAACCUCUUUUGUCAGGGAACAAAGACUGGGACGCGUCCCCGGAUGAGUGUACCUGAAGAAAAAGCAUCGGCUAACUCCGUGCCAGCAGCCGCGGUAAUACGGAGGAUGCGAGCGUUAUCCGGAUUUAUUGGGUUUAAAGGGUGCGCAGGCGGUCUGUUAAGUCAGCGGUCAAAGCCCGGGGCUCAACCCCGGCCCGCCGUUGAAACUGGCAGUCUCGAGUUGGAGAGAAGUAUGCGGAAUGCGCGGUGUAGCGGUGAAAUGCAUAGAUA